rnacentral:rRNA from 1 species
GUCCACGCUGUAAACGAUGAGUGCUAGGUGUCGGCUCUUAAAGGGUCGGUGCCGAAGUUAACGCAUUAAGCACUCCACCUGGGGAGUACGAUCGCAAGAUUGAAACUCAAAGGAAUUGACGGGGGCCCGCACAAGCGGUGGAGCAUGUGGUUUAAUUCGAAGCAACGCGAAGAACCUUACCAGGUCUUGACAUCUCCUUGACCGGUCCGUAAUGGGACCUUUCCUUCGGGGACAAGGAAGACAGGUGGUGCAUGGUUGUCGU